CUCUUAACUCAGGCGCGCCCUGCGACGACGCUGCCUGGUCCCGGCGUGGCCGUAUCGUGCGGCCUCAGGACACGGCCGUUCACAGGAGACCCUGACCUGGAGAUGAUAUCCUGGAGAUGGCAGGAACUUUCUGGAUGGCGAGGCGGCCUUCCUUGGCGCUCCGUGUGGAUCCUUCCCAGCGGGCAUUCGAGAGCAUAGUCGAUGACUGAGAUCCGCAGAGUGGAUGAAAGUUGGGACUAGUCGGGACUCGUGACCUGGAAUAUUUGAGUCAGCUUUGGGGACGGGGAGGUCCAGGCUGUGGCCCCUUAGGCCGCACGGUGGGAGAGCCUCACUUUUGUUCACAGUGCUGAGGUGUGCAGGACAGAGCAGCCUCGGGGCGUGGCGUGUCACUUGUCCGUCGUGCCUUCUGUGUCUUUUGUGCCUCUUGUGUUGUACGUGCCUUGCCCUAUCUCUUCUGGGGGCUUACCAGAAACCCCAGCAUCACUUAUAGCAUCUCCAAUCUCUGGGCUCCUCGGCUCGGCUGCUCUCAGAGGCCUUGGAAUCGCGUCUCUUUUGAAAAGCAUCCGAUCGGAUGUCUUUUAGACCUCUUGUUCUGAGCUGUGUCAACAGCCGUGCGCCGCGAGGAUCCAUUGUUGCGGCUUAGGACUUGAAGAAACGCAAAGAUAGGUAGGGGACUGCGGCCCUCAGGUUCUUGAGCAUCUGUCUUGGCAGUUCCUGGAGUUAAUUGUUCCAUCAGCAUCUUCUUCCUCCCGGGUUCUGUGAGCUUCAUCAGCUCGCCUUCAUUCUCACCCGGCUCAUCUCGUUCCGCAUUCUCUCAGUCCUUGCGGCCGUCCUUGUGGCCCAGAGUUUUGUCUCCCCAUUGUGUCCCCUCGUCGGGUGUCUGGUGUGUCACGGGUGUCUGGGUGUAGUUGUCCCGGAGCUGCUCUGCCCUGCUGCCCAGCCUGGCUGUAGGUGUAAAAGGCCAAGUCCCAGGCCCCUGUAAUUUGAAAUUUGUGAUGUAGGGUGUAGUUGGGGUCUAGAACAUAUUCCUAGAUCAACACAAGAUGUCCGGAGCUGUGAAGUUACCCUGCAGCACUUUGACUUUUGUCUCAGCUCUCUUUCAGAUGCGGACGGAUGAAAUCGGUGGCAGAGCGCCCCAUCCAGGGUAAGGGGGUUCCCCCGAGAAGGAAAUAGAGCCGGCUGGCAGCAGUCAAGGUGAAGUGGGCAAGGCGGUCCAGUCGCGUUUCGUCGAGACCCCGUCGCCAGCCGGCCGGCACGCCUGCUUCGCCGCUCCCGUGAGCCCUGCGGAAGCGUCACAGGGACCGCGUGACGGAGCCUUUUCCACGUAAAGGGGCCGUGUGGGUGGCCUUCAGGAAGGGGCCGAGGGCUUCCCGCGCGCCCUGCGACGACGCUGCCUGGUCCCGGCGUGGCCGUAUCGUGCGGCCUCAGGACACGGCCGUUCGCAGGAGACCCUGACGGAGAGACGACAGCCUGGCGAUGGCAGGAACUUCCCGGAUAGCCAGGCGGCGUUCUUUGGCGCUCCGUGUGGAUCCUCCCCAGCGGGCAUCCGAGAGCUGAGUCGAAGGCUACCACCCGCAGAGGGGAUGAAAGCGGGGUGCCGGGUCGGGACUUGUGACCUGGGAUAUUUGAGUCAGCUUUGGGGACGGGGAGGUCCAGGCUGUGGCCCCUUAGGCCGCACGGUGGGAGAGCCUCACU